rnacentral:rRNA from 1 species
GAAUUCACUAGUGAUUCAGGCCUAACACAUGCAAGUCGAACGGUAACAGGAAACAGCUUGCUGUUUCGCUGACGAGUGGCGGACGGGUGAGUAAUGUCUGGGAAACUGCCUGAUGGAGGGGGAUAACUACUGGAAACGGUAGCUAAUACCGCAUAACGUCGCAAGGCCAAAGAGGGGGACCUUCGGGCCUCUUGCCAUCGGAUGUGCCCAGAUGGGAUUAGCUAGUAGGUGGGGUAACGGCUCACCUAGGCGACGAUCCCUAGCUGGUCUGAGAGGAUGACCAGCCACACUGGAACUGAGACACGGUCCAGACUCCUACGGGAGGCAGCAGUGGGGAAUAUUGCACAAUGGGCGCAAGCCUGAUGCAGCCAAGGGGCGUGUAUGAAGAAGGCCUUCGGGUGUAAACUAUAUGGGCGAGGAGGAAGGCAUAAAGGUUAAUAACCUUUGUGAU